rnacentral:rRNA from 1 species
ACUACGGGUGGCAGCAGUGAGGAAUAUUGGUCAAUGGGAGAGAUCCUGAACCAGCCAAGCCGCGUGAGGGAAGACGGCCCUAUGGGUUGUAAACCUCUUUUGUCGGAGAACAAAACCCCGGACGUGUCCCGGCCUGCGUGUAUCCGAAGAAAAAGCAUCGGCUAACUCCCUUCCAGCCGCGGCGGUAAUACGGAGGAUGCGAGUGUCUUCCGGUUUUAUUGGGUUGAACGGGUGGGUGGGCGGUCCGUUAAGUCAGAGGUAAAAUUGCGGGGCUAAACCCCGUCGAGCCGUUGAAACUGGCAGACGUGAGUUGGCGAGAGGUACGCGGAAUGCGCGGUGUAGCGGUGAAAUGCAUAGAGAUCGCGCAGAACUCCGAUUGUGAAGGCAGCGUACCGGCGCCAGACUGACGCUGAGGCACGAAAGCGUGGGGAUCGAACAAGAUUAGAUACCCGGGUAGUC